UACGAAGGGGGCUAGCGUUGUUCGGAAUCACUGGGCGUAAAGCGCGCGUAGGCGGGUCGUUAAGUCGGGGGUGAAAUCCUGGAGCUCAACUCCAGAACUGCCUUCGAUACUGGCGAUCUUGAGUCCGGGAGAGGUGAGUGGAACUCCGAGUGUAGAGGUGAAAUUCGUAGAUAUUCGGAAGAACACCAGUGGCGAAGGCGGCUCACUGGCCCGGUACUGACGCUGAGGUGCGAAAGCGUGGGGAGCAAACAGG
rnacentral:rRNA from 1 species